UUCUUGAAAAUAAGAACGCCUUAACAAUUUUAACUGUUCUUUUUAAGCAAUUCCCAUUCCGUUCCGCUCCGUUCUGUUCUUUUACUAAUUUCGUUCCAAAAUUUUUAAGAACGCAUUCUAAGCGUUCGUUUUUUUUUUGAGCGAUGGGAUCGUUCUUGAUCGUUAUGUUCGUUCUCGGGAAAGAAUGAUCGUUCCACCAGGAACGCGCCCAGCCCUAACUUCAGUAGGGAAGACAAGGUUGUUGUCUCCACCCAGCAAGAUGGAGAUCUGACUGGUGUUUUGGGACAUAUUUUCUUGCACUAAGCGCCACAAAUACAGAUAUGGUAUUGUUAAAAAGCUUAAAUAAUACUGUCUCCAGUGUAAUCUAGUCAUGAUAUAAUUGAUACUGAUAUGAUAUUGAUAUGAUAUUCUAAAGGAAUAAAUAAUAUAUUUUUUAAAGUUUUUUGCUCUUUUUCAACUAUUUUAAUUGUAAUGGUAUGAUUAUGAACAGCAGUGUCGCAACUAGCUCACUUGUGUGAGGGGGAGCAAAAUUUAAAAGGGGGGGGGGUACAGGGUGGCUAGCUCCCUGGUGAAAAAUUUUUCCAAAAAAGUGCUGUUUUUAGGAUUUGAAGAAGGGUUAGCUCUGUGGUCAAAUUCAAAUAUUAACCUUGGCUUGUUCUUUUGUUUAAAAAUUAUUUUUUCCCAACAGCUAUAAAUAGACGACAUGAGUAAAUUAAUUAAACAUAUGUAGUUUCAUGUAUUUGUUAAGAGUCUGUUAUUGUUUCGCACCCCUGAGUUUCGAUCAGCAUAGUUGCCCCUGGAGGAAAUAUUAUUUGCAGAACAGAAAAACUGAUAACCGGUUUAUGAAUCUGUAUAGGCAGCCUACUGGUUUUUUUGUACUUUCUCUCAGUGCUCAGUGUUGGGGGAUCUCUUAUAUUUUAAAGCAUAUAUAGUUCUUUUUUACAUGCAUGAAGAAAAUCCGUUGCAUUUAUUGAAAAGGUGUUUGUAUUUUCAGAAUAUAAAACGUUAUGACUGGUUUUCUAAUAGUCUAGAGAUUUUGCAAGACACUAUGAGAAAGAAGAAAUGGGGAAAGUUACAGGGGUUCAGACCGGCCUUGCAAAAUCAUCUCCAGGUCUGUGCAGUCCUAAGUAGUAAAUAGUUCCUUGCAGCGCUUGACUAUGUAGCCCCCUAUAGGGGGGGGGGAGGCUAAACUUU